rnacentral:rRNA from 1 species
UACGUAGGGCGCAAGCGUUAUCCGGAAUUAUUGGGCGUAAAGAGCUCGUAGGCGGUUUGUCGCGUCUGCCGUGAAAGUCCGGGGCUCAACUCCGGAUCUGCGGUGGGUACGGGCAGACUAGAGUGAUGUAGGGGAGACUGGAAUUCCUGGUGUAGCGGUGAAAUGCGCAGAUAUCAGGAGGAACACCGAUGGCGAAGGCAGGGUCUCUGGGCCUGAUACUGACGCUGAGGAGCGAAAGCGUGGGAGCGAACAGG